rnacentral:lncRNA from 1 species
UCCAAUAUUCUCAUUGCGGCCUGACUAAACUUUAUCCAUAUAGUGGUAGAAAUAGGGUAAGCGGGCAGCAUUUUGUUCUUUGGAUUCAUUCGGCAGAUUUUACAACAAAAAGACUUUACUCCAAAGAGCAAAGAAGCAAAAAUAAAAAUCAUCUUGAGUCCGGAAUCGGAUUUAGUCGUGCCGCAAUACAGGUACUACACAUCGGGCGAAAAACUAAAAGAAAUCAAAAUCAAAAUCAUCGUCUCUCAACCUCAGGCAAGUACUUAACCAUUUUACCUAUUUCUUUUCCAUCGAUCCCUCCCUUUAUUACUAUCUUUUUGGAUUAUUAUCUAUAUUUUUUUAUCUGUCUAUGAAGUUACAGUGGAGUAUUUAUUUUUCGCUCAGUACUUUGAUUCGAAAUAUUAAAAAAAUAUAAGCAAACUUUUAUCGAUUUUGAAACCAAACACAAACAUAGUUCUAUACAUCCAAUUUUCAAUGCAAUAAACCAAAUAGAAAAUAUACUAAUCUUGCAUUACUAAUCCCUUUAUUACAAUUACUAAUUAAUUUGUACUCCUAUAAACUAAAGGACCAAUUAAUUUACUAGGUUAAUAUCCUCUUGUUUUCUUUUUUUUGCUUUGUAUCAACAGGAAUAUAGAUGGAAUCAAUAAAAAAUUGAGUGAACUUGAAAUUACUACCACAAAAGAAGUCGAAAUGUCAAACAACAACAACAACAAACCCAGUGCAAUCCCACACGUAGGGUCUGGGGAAGUCGAGACGUCAAAGGAUGAAGAAAAGCAUGGUUUCAGAGUUCAAUUUGCAGAUGACAUAAUAUUCGAGAUACUAAAAUUUGCUAGCAAUUUUGUCGAGAACAUUAUCCCAUUAUCAUUUGUUGAUGUUUAGUUUGAAAAUCAAACGAGAGAAACCGAAAUUUUGUUAUGUUAACUAAUAUGGAUUGUGCUUUGUUAUUACAUUUUAGUUUCGAUUGUUUCUUAUUCUACAAAAACUAUUGUGUUGUGGAGAUUAGAUUGUGCAUGUUGCUCAACUGGAUAGCAUAGAGUUUUUGUGAUUGUCCGUCUGAAAUGAAGGCUUG